GGAUUCAAUCAAUCAAUAUGGAGUCAUGUAUUUUAUCAUGUUCUUAUAAAAAUAUCAAACAAAUGAUUGUCCUUUUUUCUUUGAUGUUAUGUUUGUUGUUUUACAGAUGUUAUGUGAAGUGAAUGACAUGACAGCAUUACUCGGUGCUGCAACACCCUCACAAGUUGCAUUCAUGGGUCUCACAAGUCGUGAGACAAAUAUGAAUUGUACACCAAAUAUACUUUUAGAAGUAGACAAAAAUUCAAUGAAAUGUAACAAUGCUUCCAAUUUACUGUCAAAAAUAAUUUGGUUCGAUUUUUGUAUGAGGAAUAUCAUGUAAAGUCAAGUUGUGCCAUUCACGCAUAAUUAAGAAUAAUAUGAUCACUACGAACUAAUGUCGAAUUGGCAUAAUGAAAAUGAAAAUAAAUAUUUCAUAUUAUUGACGUUUAAAACGUAAUCGUGUUAAAAACAUGCUAAGUAUUAAUGCAUUGUUUACCUGCUGCAACUAGUUAAAAAUUACUCAGUAUCUAAUGAGAAAUUGCAGUUGUGGUGAAAUCGCUUUGUGUAUAUUCAAAAAAAAUUUAUUAGAAAUCCUUUAUAAUAGCAUCAUGUUACUAAAAAAUUUGAAAUAUUAUAGACUGGUAGUAGCACACACAAAUACAAUUAAAAAAACGGUAGCACAGUGGGGUCGUGGCAUAGUUGGCACAAGUAUAGAUAAUAUCUGACAGUGAUUAAUAUCACAUAAGAAACACUUCGAUGCAAAUCUAUGGAUAGUGUUUAAUUUUAAGAAAUUGGUAGAUUAUUUCAAAAUCAAAAAUAACCCUUAUUCCCUUA